UACGUAGGGCGCAAGCGUUAUCCGGAAUUAUUGGGCGUAAAGAGCUCGUAGGCGGUUUGUCGCGUCUGCCGUGAAAGUCCGGGGCUCAACCCCGGGUCUGCAUUCGAUACGGGCAGACUAGAGUGUGGUAGGGGAGAUCGGAAUUCCUGGUGUAGCGGUGAAAUGCGCAGAUAUCAGGAGGAACACCGGUGGCGAAGGCGGAUCUCUGGGCCAUUACUGACGCUGAGGAGCGAAAGCGUGGGGAGCGAACAGG
rnacentral:rRNA from 1 species